GGUAGCAGGCAAGUUUGGUUGAGCCUCAGGGACGUUCAACCAAACUUUUCAUUGAAAGAUCGCGAGCUUUCCUGCCCUGCGGUUCCUGGGUACAAACAAAAAUCUCCCACAUUUGAGCUGUUUCACAAUGAGUUAUACAGAAAAACCGGAUGAAAUUACUAAAGAUGAAUGGAUGGAAAAACUCAAUAACUUGCACAUCCAAAGAGCUGACAUGAAUCGUCUUAUAAUGAAUUAUCUAGUUACUGAAGGAUUUAAGGAAGCAGCAGAAAAAUUUAGAGUGGAAUCAGGGAUAGAACCCAGUGUUGACUUGGACACCCUUGACGAACGUAUUAAAAUUCGUGAGGUGAUACUUAAUGGACAAAUUCAAGAAGCCAUUGCAUUAAUUAAUAGUCUGCAUCCAGAGCUGUUGGACACAAAUCGUUAUCUUUAUUUCCACUUACAG